CUGGAACUCUCAGAUCACCAGGGCUGAGUUCUCCCUUGCUUUGAAGGCGAGAUCACGGGCUGCACGUAGAGAUGAGUGAAGAUGUUUGCUGUUAAUCCUGUUGGCUGGGAUGUGUUGGCAUCACCCCAGCUAUUUCGUGGUCAUGAAGUACUGUCCUGCACCAGAUCCUGAUGCACUUACUGACUGUGAACAUGACUGCAGACCCAGGACAGCCAAGUGCUAGCCCAUACAACUGAGGUUGUCAUGAUCUGGCCCCAUCGUCUCUUUCAGUGAGUGGCAAUCUCUCCUCUGAUCCAUGUGGACAUUUUUGUGAAGUGAAGUCCUUAAUUUCAAGCCUUGCAGCUUGCACAUGUGUGCCUGUCAGCCACCAGGGACUACUAAGAUUCCAGUGAGAACUGGCACUUUUGAUUUUCCUUGCCUUGCACUGGGAGAUAUAUGAGAGUUUGUUUAUGUGAGAUUUGGGAGAACAAAGGCAAAUUAAAUCCCACCCUUCCAAUAAGAUAUAUAUUUUUUCAACCUUGAAGUAAAUUUUCUAUGUCUGUGUGUUUUGGCUUUUAAACUCAAUAGCCUGCAGGCAUUCACCACGUCAGCAAAGAAAUGGAAAGCUCAUUAUUACACUAUUAGAAGGUUUAAGACUGAAAACCAGAGUCUAUAACAACAGCGAAUAGGAUAUCAAAGACAUGUCCCUCUGCUUGAUCCUUCCAUGGAACUGGAGCUGGACUGAUGCUGUGAAGGGUGUUUUGUUGUGCCUGCACACUCCCCAACCAUUUCAGAAUGUUGAGGUGUAAUGGCUUCUUUUAUUAUUUAAAUAAUAUUGUUUCAUAUUCUUAUUUGGCCAGAUCAGAAGAAUCAAAUCAGAUAAUAGCAUGAGUUCUGGAGGCAAAGGAGUGCUAUGAACGAGAAUUCACUCCCUUUGCAUUAUUCAUCUGAGCACUGCAUCAGUGACACCGGUAUGCCAUGAGUUUCACAGGGCAGCUACCUCAGCACUAUAACUGCCACACAGAUCUCUCUAUGCAUUUUACUGGAAAAAAAAAAAAAAAAAGGCAAAAAAAAAAGGCAUUGUAAAUUUUGGCGGUUGGAGGUCAUUUAGGCUAUUGUGUGUAUAUGGCACUUGGAUAAAAGGUUGCCUUCUUCUGUCCUGGGCUUCCUAUUCUGAUUCUCAUUGGUCCCUUUGGACCAUUAUCCUGCUGAUCUCCAUCAUAUUUUUUCCACUAAAUCCCCACCUGUGACGCUUGCACUACUUGAACUUUUUCCCUACAGGCAGUAUUUUCUGAACACUCUUAUUUUAUUUUUUGUGACUUUUGGGGACAUUUCCCAUUUCCAGCAUAUCUUUCAGGACAAUGCACUGAGCUGACUUGAUGCAGAGCGAUACAAAUCCCACACGCUUGUACAGGACAUGUUUCCACUCCUAUGCCCCAUUGUUUUAAUCCUGCAGGAUCCUUCCCCAUGCUGAGGCAAGGGAAGGACCCUGCUGUGUGCAACUUCAUUUUGCACCCAUGUGAGCAUUGUGCUUGCUUUGAGGUAUGCAGGUUGCAGUCAGAUGGGGACUGCUAUUUUGGGGUAGGUAUCGCCACCAAAAGCAAAAUGAAUCUGUCACAAAACCACUUCUACAUCAGCAGCAAUUUUAAGCCUUCAUCUGCACAUCUUUCCUAGGAAUGAAGUUUCCUAUAUUCUGCACUGUUCAUUCCCUAAGGGGAAAAAUAUCUGCUUGGAGCAGGUCCACAGGGGAUUCAAAAAUUUCCCUGAGGAAUGCAUCCCUGAGCCAAAAGCAUCAGGUGCAGCUGAUCACAGUCAGCCUGGGGCUGUUGAGGGGCUGGGAAGGUUGAUGUGGGUUUUGGGCUAGAAGCUAUAAGCAGGCAGUCUGGAGGCUGAUAGUGCUGUCCAACCUGUACUCUUUUCUUGGAUAUGUGAUUUUUGCCAAGGCUUGCAGAGGGUGCUCAGGGGGCUGUGCUGGUUAAGUGGAAACCACAGGUAACAAAUCUCAGUUGCAGAAGGGAAGUGUAUUGUUGAGUGGGGCCUGGAUGUAUGGGAACCUCCAACAUUUUAUAUCAUUUCUGUCUGCUUCAGAUGAAUAUACUGAUACUGACCUUUAAAAGGCAAAAGAGAGCCAAGCUGGCUGGCUUUGAUUGCAGAGUUCUGCUGUUGCGUCUUGGUAGUCACAAGUGCAAAACACAAUUGGUGCUUAGGACCAGUGAUAAAACCCAAGGGAAUGGCACGAAGCAAGCUGUGACGAGGGGGCUGAGAUUGGAUAUCAGGAAGAGGUUCUUCACUGGAGGGAGGUGAACAUGGCACAGGUACCCUGGGCCAAUGGGCACAGCCCUGGGCUGCCAGAGUGCACGAAGUGUGUGGAUAAUGCUCUCAGACAGAGGGUUUGGGUUGUUCUGUGUGGAGCCACAGGUUGGACUCAAUGAUCUUCAGGAGUCCCUUCCAACUUGGGACAUUUUAUGAUUCUUUGAACUUUGAUUUUUGAGACAUGGCAGUCACAUAUAAAAAUUCUUUGGUCCUGGUGAGAGAGGCUGUGGUUCAGGGUGUUAUCUCCCCAUGGUUUGUUUCUAAUGCUGUGAUGUUUAUUAGGAAUUUCCAGGUGCCCUCUUGAGGCUUCCAAUUGAGUUCUACUGGGACCCAUGGCACUAACUGGUGUCUGAGCUUACACAGAAAACACAAUGCUGGAAUUUUAAGAAUGAGACUUGCUGAUACCAAAUAGUACAGAGACUUUACAUCAUCUGUUAAUGCCAGAAAAUAAUUUGAUUUUCAUUUCCACACUGGAAGACGGUUAUAUCUAAACCUUUAGCCCAGCCUACCCUUGAUGAGCAAGCCGUGGUUCACACAGAACCAAAGUGGGAAGAUGAUCAUUUCCACUCUCUGUAGGCUUUGGUUGUCUGUAAUGAGACCUGAUGAGGCACAAGAACAACAUCAUUUCAUCUGUGUCUGAGUGCUUCGGCACAGACACAACACUGAAUUGAUGACAAAAGUGUGUGGCAGCAGUUACUGCCAUGAGGGUUGUUUUGGGAGAAAACACAAAAAAAAUCAUUUAACUCCCUUCCUCACUGCUGUAAGUUAAUUGGAACAUGCUUUAUUCCCAACACAAUUAUAAAUUUAAAAAUGAGUACAGCUGAAAAGAGGGACUGGAUGGUGCACAGCACAGGCUGGAGCAGAGUUUACAAAAAGCUGCCUUUUAAAUCUUAUGCCUACAUUCUGUUUCUCUCUGGAACAAAAUACGAUACUUCCAGCCUACAAUAUGAAGUGAGUCAUAAUAUUGCCAUUCUGCUCCCAGCAUAAUUGAGCAUACCUAUGGUAUGAAGUGGGAGAAAUAUUUGGCCAAGAAGAAAGCUCCAGAAUUUUAUGUACUGUCAAGACGUGCUUAAUAAAUGGAGAGUAUUAUUUUCAUAUUGCGUAAUUCAGACUUUCCUCAUUCUGGGGUUGUUUCAGCAAAACAUGCAAGUGUGUGCUUAUCUUUAAUUAGUGUUUAAGCCAAGAUGGCUGUUAGCAUACUUAUAGGAAGGGACUUUUCAAAGGGCUGGGCUUCUAUACAUGCAUGGAGGCAAUUGUGUGCUUGCACCUGCAUCGGGGCUAAAGGAACUCUUGCAGGUAGAUGUGGAGGGUGGGUGUUAGUGACAAAAAGCACAUAUAUUUGCCAUGAUAUGUGGUCAUUUAUCCUGUGCUGCUGCUGUUUUCAUAAGGACAGACUUCAGCGUCUCUGCUAUCACCCAUGUGAGCAUGGACUCAGCUGGAAAAGCUUUAGGGCAGGGUAUGAAGCCCUCAUCCUGACAAUGACAAUGAGCACAUUGCCUUCAGCAGGCCAGAUUUCAUUCCCUGCAUGUGAAGAGGCUCUGAGACAGAGAGGAGUAAUCAUGUUGUAUGUGGCUGGUUGUGAAAUAUUUUGGCAAAGGAAACGGGGCUUGAUCUUGAACUCUUCCAGGUGAAAAAUACAGUCAGGAGUGACGUGAACACAAAAAGGCAAGUGAGGCAGCUUGUGGGUGAAUCUUUGGUCUAUGACACCAAUGAUUUGGCCUCGAUUCCUGCCCUCAGCUGUGUGACUUUCCUCAUGCCAGUGUUUCCCUUCAAAUUAAAUGGGAGCAUUGAAAAAAAUUUGCUUUUAAAUGAAGCUGGAUGAACUCUCAUAUAUCACUGUGGUCAUACAAGAGACAAUCCACGGGUUGAACUUAAUGUUUAUUUAGCAUAGCUCACUCCUCUAAAUUAACUGCAGUUAUUAUUAUUAACUGCUGUGAUGCCUGCUGUCCACAGGGCUUUCAUGAUCAAGAAUAUAUGAAAUAACAGUUGUUCAUUUUAUUUUUAAGCAUUCAAUAGCGUGCAGUGAGUUGUUUAACAUUAGGCAGUGUGUGCGUUAUGAUGCUGUGCUCUCAUAUGAAGUGUGUUUUUUGACCAAACAGCCCAAAAAUCUCUCUUGCCUUUCGUGAUGAGAGCUCACAGAAUCAGAGCACCAAUGAACAUUUGAACCCUCCAGAGUGUGAAGUAAUAAUGGCCAGCUGGUGUCAGUGAGCAAAUGGAUAAGAUAUGAGGAUUAAAUCUGAUUUAUACCACGCCACUGAGAACCUCUAAAAGACUGGUUUGGAUUGGUUUUCAGAGGAUUUCAGAACAAUCUCUGCCCUUUCUAAAAAGCAACAUUCCUCUGUUCUUUUUUCUAAAAAGCAGGAUCUUUGGACUUCCAGUUUAAGAAUAAAUUCUGGAAAACAGAUGGAUCUACUGCUGCUGAGAUCCUCUGGUCGAAUUAAGAAGAGAAAACCAAUAGGACAUAUAUGCCUAUAUAUAACUUGAAAUUCCUUUCCUCCUGUUAAAACGAUAAAUUGUUAUUGCUGUGCUCAUGGGCAGCCUGCAUUCUCCGAGCAGACUCGUUGUUGAACAGAGAGAUUGGUAAAGUCAGAUGUUUCCCAGGAAAUGAUGGUCAGUGAUGGACUGGUACUCAGGAAGCCAACGAUAAUGUGAUCUGGGUAUGGAAAAAAUGUUUGUCUUCUUGUAAACAUAGGAAAACAGUGAAGACAAAUUAUUUUUUAUAAUUUUCAGUGAAGAAAAAUUAAUAAUCAUAAUUAAUCAUGAUUGUUAUUAUAAGCUUAUGAUUCCCUUUGUAAUUCUUUAACAAACUGAAACAAUAAUUUGAAGAAUAUCAGAGGAGUAUCCUUUGGAGCAGCUCACAUCAGCCAGUGUUCCUUCUAACAAAUUGGCUUUCCUCCACAAUAAUGUUUCUUCAGAGUUUUUUUUCCAGCCCUGUUCCUUUGGAUGUAUUGAUUUCCCAUAGGCUUGCAUCUUCCUACAGUAAGAUUUUUUUUGUGUUUGAAGUUGGCUACAUGUCUGGGAAAUACACACCCUUAUGUUCCAAGAGGGCAGAAGGAGGUAUUUCUAGAAAUAGCAAAAUGACAAACAAAUAGUGAGAAAUUUUGGUCUUGGCCACCUUACUAUAAACUCAGCCCAUAGGUCUUUUUUCAGAACUGAGGUUUCCCAUCUGUCAAUGGGUGGAUAUAAACUCCAGCGGAUGUUGAAGAGACAUCUGGAGUGUAUCCAUUGCACUUCCAGUGUCAGUGAGCAUCACCCAGUUACCAUAUAUUUUUUGCUGACCUAGGGGAAUUUGUGGUCUUCCCUCCAAAUGGGUAAUGGCAAAAAUUCUGAUGUGUCUAACAUCCUCUUCUGUGGCUAUUAGGAGUCUCUGAUACUGAGACCCCUGCUUAGUGCUUGUCCUCCCACAGCCAAGCUUAAUGAGUGUCUUUUAUAAGCUAAUGGGUUGGGUGCUGAGGGAUGAGCUCUCUGCUGUGCUGCAGAGGAGACCCUGAUGUCAGUGACGGUGCCAUUAGCAAUGGGGGAACCAGAAAACUUCAGCUUUCAACGAAGCUGAAUAAGUGGAUUUGAACCACACUGGAACAAAAAUGAGGACAGGAGAUUUUCCUAGGAACCCAAUGUGCUUCUUUUCAAAACUCAGCAACAGGAUUUGAAUGGGCUCUCAAGUUCCACAUGGUGCCUUCAAAAACUCCAGCAUAAGUUUUAAGGAAGAGAAAGAGAAGAUUUUCCAUCCUCCCACAUUCCAAAGCACCCAAACAAGGAGGAAAGUCUUCCAGGCAGUCACAUUUUUUCUACACCAGAAAUGACUCCAUUGUACAAAGCGAAUGCCAAGGCCCAGGUUUGUUCUGGUCUUUGCACGUAUUUUUCAAAUCAGUGUUUAUUUUGCCUGAUCUGCCCUGACUUUCUGGUUCCUGUUUCUGUUGUCUCCCAUUGUUGUUGGUGAACUUUGGCCCUUACCGGGAUUAUGGUGGAGUUGCCUUUGUUUGAGGAGGUACAUGGGAGAUUUUUCAAUGCUGUUGUGCUGUGAGAAAAGGAGGGGCAGCACUUUUGGCUUUUCCAUCCCAUUCAACCCCUCUUAUCUCCUCCUGCCUCUCCUCUGGGCUGUAUUUCAUCAGCAGCCAUCCUGGCAUUCGUGGUUGCCCCUUGCCCACUCUCCUAUAUUGAGGUGUGGAGCUGCCAUGACCCUGCCCCAUGCCAAAUGCCAUGUGUGUUCCCCUACUGACCAAUCUCAUUCUCUUCUGUACCCACUAUUAAAAUAGAUGGAGGAAAAUUAAGCUCAUUUGCAACCAUCUGUAAUUAGCAGGGGUUACAUCUCUGAGAUGGUGAACAGCUUUAGGACCGUUGCCUUUGUUUAGCAGUGUGCAUCAGUGCAAAUGAUAUGGAGGAAAAUUCCAUAAAGCAGAAACUACAGGCACUCUUUAACUGCUUCUGUAAAUUAAUAUAACAAAGCGAGCCAAGAAAAAAGUUCCCAAAUGUGACUUCUUUGUAAUCUGAUAAGUCUUUGACAAAAAUAAGUUUGGCCAUUAUUAUUAUAUGAACAUUUCCUUGCAUCUCCUGCAAAUAUAUAAGGUGAAAAUAGAUACUUGUUCUUGAGAAAAUAUCUAUUGUGUGUCAUAAAUCCCUUCAUUCUUAUUUCCUUGAAGCUUAGGAGUUUGCACAGAAAUGCAUUAAGGAAAUUGUCUACUUCUUUCAUUUAUUUUAUUGAUCUAAUUACUGGCUUAUGUUAUAUGCAAUACAUUCAUUCACUUCAAAGGUUUCCUGACUUAGAUGUGCUUGUACCCAGCUCUGUGAGUCUUCCAAAACCAGAUGAAGCCAGCACUUUGUGUGAGUAUAUCUAAUCUUAAAAAGGAUUUCUUCAGGAUCUAUUAUUUCCUCUCUAUUCAGUAUCAAAAUAUGUUUAGCACAAUUUCAUCAUACUGAGUAUCAUCAGACAAAAAAAAAAAAAAAAGCUACAUAUGAUGGCAAUAGACAUAAAUAUUUACAACUAGUAAAAACUCUGUCUAAUUUUAGGUACCCACACCCACCACACUCACAGGGGAAUGAAGCCAGCCUCUUUCAGAUAUGCUUUCAGCUCUCUUAAGGAAACAAAUCCAUUUGGACUCUUGGUAAUGCCUUCUCAUUACUUCUAAUGGAACAUGUAAAAAAAGGCUGCCCAUAUAGGUAAGCUAAAUUCAGUGGUCCUCAGACAGCCCAAAUGAAUUUCUUCAGGUCAAAUGUAAUUCAUAGGAACAGGAUUUGGGGUCCUCUGCUGAGGAGGUCCUGGUGAGGACACACUGUUUUAUCUUCUGGCUGAUGGAUGAAUCUAUCUGAUAGCAGUGGCUUGGUUUGUUAUUAUGAGAGAUAAUAGAAAUUCAGCUAUAUGGAAGGAACCUGAAAAUGUGACCCUACCAUAAGAGAGCUCAGAGGCUGGAAUAUAGGUUGUAUUUAAAGAUCAGAAUACAAGCAUACAACGUGAUUUCCCUGUCUGUGAUGAUAUCCUUCUAAAUAAUUCAGAGUAUUUCAGAGGUCCUCUCCCAUACAUUUCCUGUGUAAUCUGUAUGCAGCAUCAACAGAAUGUGGCUACAGACAUCUUCAUCCACAGCCACUGCACAUCACAGUCCUUGACCUGGUAACACAAACAUUGGGUAUCUGUCCCUCAAAGGUGCAGAACACUGUCUCCUGGAGGGAAGAUGUGGUUUGAAAACUUUUGAAAGCACUUCGGCUAACUUGUUUCUUCUGGAAAUCAAAGUUAAUGUGGUCUUAUUAGUUACAUCAUGGAUUUACUGGACAGUAAUGUGAUAACAAAAGUCAUCAAAGGAGAGAAGAAAAAAAACAAACAACUCUAUAAGUAGCAUGUCCCAAAGGAGAGAAGAAAAAAACCCAUCAACUUUAUAAGUAGCAUGUCCCAGAAAGAUUAAAGACACAAUGAUAGAUACUUCAUUCUGUUUCCUCUUUUCCAAAGCACUUGACUUGUACUGUCAUUCUGUUUGCCAGGGCUUGCAAGGAUUGCCAACCUCUUCCUGCAACCACUGCAUCUCUUCAUAUUGAGGAAGUGUAAAACCACACCUGAGCUUGUACUGUUUGAGGCAUUUUCCUUGGAAUGUUUUUCUUUGUUAUGCAGACUUUUCAUUUAGAGGAAGCGGGAGGAAAUCUGCCUUUAAAAAAUAAUGGCUACAAUACAAUUACUGUAAAAUGAAUAAUAAAAGUAACCAACUAGUACUGGCCAGGGGGAUGAUAAUUCAACUUUGCGACAACUUCUGAGGUUUUACAAUUUGUUUUCAUUUUACAAUGGAAUGAAAACAAGACCUUCACAUAUUAUGUAUUCAAUUUAGGUCUUUCUUGCUGCAUUGUCAGGAAUAACCAGGGUGCCCUGGACCUCAAGAAUUUGUCCUUCCAAGUAUUUAAAAAAUGCUUCAACACUGAUGAAUCAGCAUAUUCUCCUGGUGGGAUAGUUCAUUGUAAAUGCUUUGGCCCGAACUUUGCUAACCCUAGAAGUUCAAAAUGAUGUCUUAUGCCCUAAAACAUAUUACUUACAAAUAACUUCUUUUGUUUUUUUUAUGCAUUAUUUCCAGACUGUUUUCUCUAAACCUUUUCCCUUCAUCCUCCAUGGAUGUACAUCCAUUUUCCACACUUAUCCAGUUCUUUUCUCCUAUUUUCCUCAGCUUUUCUUGUUUCUCAUGCAGCUUCAGCACUUUUGACCUUCCGUAGCUUAUGCACAAGAAGCAGUGCUAAGAUAAUGUUUCACGGUAUGCUGUAGCAGAGGUUGGCUAGGAAAGAGGUGGCUGCUGGAUGGACUCUACAACAGAUAGUGGUCACUGCACAGCAGUCCCACAACCAUCCUGCAAAUCCCUGUCUGUCUGUUCUUUGGUUUUAAUUCUUCUCAGAUGGCAUUUUCCAUCAGGCAGAGCUGACAUCCGUGAGAAGGCAGAAACAUCUGCUCCCAUGCCCUGGCCGGCUGCCGCCCUCACCAGCUCAGCAGCACUUUAGGAAACCAGAAGAGCCACACGGUGGGAAGACCCUAUUCUUCGAGGAGAAAACAAGCAGCGUGGAAAAUAGAGAGGAAAUGCAUCAGUGCAUUUUGAAAGAUGGAAACAACAGCAGAAAGGAGAGCAAGAGGUGGAGUGACUUAACAUCGUGCAAAGUACGAGGUGCUUCUGUAGAUGUCUUUGUACGAAUUGUUUCAUGACCUAUCAUGAAUCACCCAGGGACAAGAUUCCCUUGUGUUCUCAGGAAUUUCCACCCUACUGGGUGUAGUCUCAAAACACCAUUUUCCUUGCAAAAUUGUCUCACUCAUUUUUCAGUCUUUUCUAUUCAUACAUUUAAAUAGGAAGCAGGGGGAAAGAAACUCAGUUGGGAGCAACAUGUGGAGACAACACAAGUUAUUCCUGUUUCACCAUUUUCUUGGCAUUGAUUUCCUCUGUCAAACAAUACUUCAAAUUUGGGACCUCUGUGUUCGUACUCCCCGUUGCUUCUUACUUCCUUGGAAGCAUCAGGAAGGACUUAUGGUAUUGCUACAGCAGCUCUUACAGGAAAAGAAAUGAAUUGAGAAACACACUUCAAAUAAUGGAAGAAUGAAUUAUUUCACCAUUUUAGCCAUUUCCCAGGAGGGAGAGUAGAGGGAAGAAAAUGCAUUUAACACUCUAAAAUAUUAAAAUAACAGGAACCACAUCAACUUCACCCCUCUGGACUUCAACCAAACUGACUGAUUUAGGUAAAUUCCCGGUAGAUCCAAGUGGCAAACUCCAUCAGAGAAUAUUUCUAAGCAUGGCAAGGGAAUUUCUCUAUACUAAUGAUAUUAUGAACUGAAUCAGCUAAUUUGGAGUUCUUUGGACUUAGGCCUGGUUUCUGGCAGAGUAGCAGAAUAUUUUUGAAAUAUGAACUCCCCCUUCAGUAUAGAGUCCGAUUCUGUUUUCGUGGACAGUAUUCAUGGAAAAUCACUUUUCUGAAGCUGUAUUUGAAAUGUAUUUUUUAAUGAGAGAUAUUAUUCCCUUGAACUUCUGGAAUAGGCUUUAAAUAUUCACAGCAGUAACUAACAGGCAAUGAGACGAAGGGGACUGUACUUGAUUUCUGAGAUUUACUGGUUACAUAUAUAGAACAAAGCAAAGCAGCACACUUUCUAAAUAUUUAAAUACAGCAUACAAAUACCAUCCUGAUUUUGUUCAUGUUCUCACUGAAAAUUUUAAUGGCAGUUUUGCAGAAAGCAAAAUACAGGCUACACUGAAAAGAAAUUACAAGCAAUUCUAUAGCAUCCUUUGUGUUUUGACAUAGCAGUGAAGGUGUUUGGUAGUUCUAGCUAACUAAAAAGAUACAAUUACAAAAUACCUGUUUGUGUAGGUGCAAGAUCUUGAACCCUCAUUGAAGUUGGUGUGCUCAAAUGGAGCCAUCUGGGAAGUGGGGUCAUGCAACCCAACCUGUCAAUAUCAGCAUUACUGUUUGAUUUGAGUGGAAAACGUGGAGCCAAGUAGGUUGCCCAGGGAGGUGGUAGAGACUCCGUCCCUGAAGUUUUUCAAGAAACAUGCAGAUGUCACCUUGACUGCCAUGGUUUAGUAGUAUGGUUGUGAUGGGUUAAUGGCUGGACAAGAUGAUCAUAGUGGUCUUUCCAACCUUAAUGAUCCUAUGAUUCUAAGCCAGAGGGCUUCACUUACUUCUACAAGCCAUUUCUUGAGCAAAAAAAUAGUCUCAGGAAGUGUAUCUUAAUAGAGAGAGUUUGUUCCACAGCUGAAUUUCCCCAGUGGAAAUGCCUCACCUUUUAAAUGAAAAAUCAGGUCUUUGUGUUUCUGCUGCUUGUUGCCACUGUGGUUCUGCUUAUAAGAAGCAUCUCAAGCAACUGGCCCCAAAAGUCAGGAAAGGACCUCAACUCUAUGCCUAAUUAUUGGAGAAAAGCACCCUGAGGUAAACCAGCCUGUCCUGAAACAGAACUGGGGAGACUGCUCAGAAACAGAAAACGUCUGAGUUGGGAAGGGUUUAGCCUUUGAGGACAGAGCUGCUCAGAACAGCUGGAUGGCUGCCCACUCUGGAACUGGAGCAUGGGACAGUUUAUAAACUUAAAGCAAAUUUUCCAACCUUAUGGGAUUUUCCUUAUGGUCUGUUCUCAGUGGAGCAGCAUUAUUAUUGUAAAUAGAUGCUCUUUUUGUCCCAUCUCCCAAGGGAAAAAAAAUAAUGUUAUGUUUGAAAAUGUAUGUUUUUCCCACUCAGUACUGAAGCAGUUCCUUUCCAUAAAGUCUGCAGAAACUGAGCUUUAGCAGAUACUGUUAAUAUCGUUACUUCAAAGUUCUGUCUAAAUGCCUUUGCCAAGGAGUCUUUAAUAAAAGACGUGGCCUCUGUCCUCUUAGAAUUGCAGGGGUUGGAAACUCAUUCUUGUGAGUCAUCUCGGGCGUCCUCCUGCAAUGUGACAGGGCCUUUCUGUCCAGCCCCUCUGCUUUUAACUCUUUCAGAUGCCUAACUGCUGGCUCCUGUCUCAUCACAGGGAUUGCUGUUUCUAUCAUAGACUUGUACACUGUCCCAAACCAGGAGCAAGGAUGCAGCACUGUGGUGCUCUUCCCCGUCCUGCUCCCAAACCACCCCUGUCCUGACUGUGCCUCCUGUGCCACUCUAUGGGAAUAUUUUUACAGCUGCCUCCCUCUCUCCUUUGGGAGUUUUCUUUUUUUUCCUCUUUUUUUUUUUCCCCUAGUGCUUCUCCUGUCAGUGAAUGAGUUUUCCAGGCUUCUCUUCCCUUGAGACUGGUCAGCACUUUAAAUAUUUAUGGAAUCAUUGCUGUGCCACUAACUGAGGUAGAAAGGUAACCCUGGGGCAAUCACAUUGCUGAAUUUUUGGUGCACUGGACUCAAAGUAAGUUUGAGAAAUUGCGCCAACUGUAACGUGGUCCCUCAUGGUUCUCAUGUCUUCUUUCCUGGGAUAAGCACUUUGUGGCUGUAGGGAUAGCUGAAGGCACCACUUGGUGCCACAUCCGCUGCAGAGUGCAGAUGGCCCUGUCUCAUAUCAUGACUCUCUUUGCCCUUAGUGAAAUCUGUUUAAGAGGAGGUUAUUGCUCGUGGUCACAAACUUAUGAGUAUGUGUUCUACAGAGCAAGUAUUCAGGAAAAGCCAUCACUGCAUAAUGAGAUCUGCAUCCUUCUCAGCCAAAUGUGAUAGCAACCACAGAGCUGGACAGUAUUAUCAGAUCCUCCUUCAUGCUAUGCUCACCUGGCUGUGUCUCUGAGACUGUAGAGACAUGAUGGAUAGUGCUUGGGAUUGCAAUGAAGUGCAGUGAUUCACUCAGUAUUGGGAGAGGUUUCCAGUCCACCUGGGUACAUGGGAAAGUCACUGGCUGAUUAAUAGUGCAUGAGCAUUUUAGCAUAUGUAGAAUUUGCAAGUAAAGUUGUAUUCAGCCAAGGCUGCUGGUAGCAUGGCUUGUCUUGGGUGAAAGGCCUCUGAGUGUGAAUAACAAAUAACUGUGCACUAAAUUCACUUCUUAAAAAUUGAAUAUUUUAACUAUUAGAAAUUAUUUUAAACCCUAUUUUUCCAGAACUUAUUUUGGGAAAAAGGAGAAGUGAAUGGCCCUAAAAAGAUACAGUCUGGAGCUCAUCCUCAUCUCAGUGACAAAUUGUGAGGUCACAAUUUAUAAAUCUUUAAUUCCUCAGUAUCUUAUUCAGUAACUGGAAGACCCAUAUGUUGGCAUACAAGAAUUCUGAUGUCUGUCCUGAGGCUGGUGAGUUAUCACUCUAAAAAGCAGACUAGAAAUAUAAUAACUUGGAUUUUUUCAUUGCAAAGAUAAAUAAUAAUUUGACAGGAGAUGUCAUUAUUGUUUAAUGGCUUUGUCUGAACAGAACAAUUGAAGGAAAUAUGUUUGCUCUUCCUCAUCCCUUGCCAUUUCCAUGAUGUCAUUGGGCUUGGCCCUAGCAACUGGAAAGUUAGAACAGAGGAAAGGACUACCUGCAGAGCAAAAUGUACACAACAAUGUAUGGUAGCAAUGACGAGCAUCGCUGGCACUAAGAUCUGUCUCAAGGUUUAUGAAGAGAAGAGAAAAUAACAUGGAAACUAAAGGCAUUUUGAGUUGGCUUAAUCAGUAGGUAAACCAUUUUAACUGUGACUCAUUUACUAAAACACUGCCAUGUCCUGCAGAAAUGAAGAGGUUUGUACUUGUCUAGGAAUUUUGAUUGUGUAGACAUUCUUACUACGUUUUUGGUGGGUUUUUUCCCCUUCAUGUGGAGUAUCUGCUGUUGAAAAGCAUGUGCUUGGCUGUCCAUGGGUGCCUGCUAUGGCACCACCUUUAUGUGGUUUCGACCCCUGGGGAACAUAGUUGACCACAUGUACUGAAUAAACUAUUGCUUUCAACACAGUGGCAGUGAUGUUUAGUUCAAGCUGUAGAGAUCUCCUUCAAGAGCCAAAGGUCAGUUUCAGUUUUGUUUUCCUCAGCUAAUGUCACCUCCUGCAAUAUUACGCCCAUAGGAAGACUGUUUUGGAGAAGAGGCUCACUUUUUCAUCACUUCUACUGUUUACCCUUUUUCUGCCUCAGCCACCUCAGAACACAUUUUGGUCUCGUCCUGACCACGAAGAGAGGCUCUUUUGUCAGCUCACUUUUAUUACUGCUUGCAGAAGGCUUAUUUUUCAAUUAUGGUAGCACUUGGUCUCCUCACAUCAGGUUCAACCUCCCAUUUUGCAAAUCUUAUUCAA